rnacentral:rRNA from 1 species
CAGUCGCCGCGGUAAUACGGAGGGUGCAAGCGUUAAUCGGAAUUACUGGGCGUAAAGCGCACGCAGGCGGUCUGACAAGUCAGAUGUGAAAUCCCCGGGCUUAACCUGGGAACUGCAUUUGAAACUGUCAGGCUGGAGUCUUGUAGAGGGGGGUGGAAUUCCAGGUGUAGCGGUGAAAUGCGUAGAGAUCUGGAGUAAUACCGGUGGCGAAGGCGGCCCCCUGGACAAAGACUGACGCUCAGGUGCGAAAGCGUGGGGAGCAAACAGGAUUAGAUACCCGAGUAGUCCCUGUCUCUUAUAC